rnacentral:rRNA from 1 species
GAUGAACGCUGGCGGCGUGCUUAACACAUGCAAGUCGAACGGAAAGGCUCCUGCUUGCAGGGGUACUCGAGUGGGGAACGGGUGAGUAACACGUGGGUGAUCUGCCCUGCACUUCGGGAUAAGCCUGGGAAACUGGGUCUAAUACCGGAUAGGACGAUGUUUUGGAUGCCAUUGUGGAAAGUUUUUCGGUGUGGGAUGAGCUCGCGGCCUAUCAGCUUGUUGGUGGGGUAAUGGCCUACCAAGGCGUCGACGGGUAGCCGGCCUGAGAGGGUGUACGGCCACAUUGGGACUGAGAUACGGCCCAGCCUCCUACGGGAGGCAGCAGUGGGGAAUAUUGCACAAUGGGCGCAAGCCUGAUGCAGCGACGCCGCGUGGGGGAUGACGGCCUUCGGGUUGUAAACUCCUUUCGCUAGGGACGAAGCGCAAGUGACGGUACCUGGAGAAGAAGCACCGGCUAACUACGUG